AAAUGCGAUAAGUAAUGUGCAUUGCAGAAUUCAGUGAAUCAUCGAAUCUUUGAACGCACAUUGCGCCCCUUGGUAUUCCAUGGGGCAUGCCUGUUCGAGCGUCAUUUGUACCCUCAAGCUCUGCUUGGUGUUGGGUGUUUGUCCCGUCUCCGCGCGUGGACUCGCCCCAAAGUGAUUGGCAGCCGGCGUACUGGUCCCGGAGCGCAGCACAUGUCGCGCAAACGAGUGCCUUGGUACGGCGGCGUCCAUAAGCCCCUCUCUCACGCUCUUGACCUCGGAUCAGGUAGGGAUACCCGCUGAACUUAAGC
rnacentral:misc_RNA from 1 species